UUUUUUCUUCUUUCUUCUUUUUUCUAGGUUUUUUCCCUCUUCUCCCCUCUCCUCUUCUGCCCCACCCGCUUUAUUUCUUGAUUUUCUCCUCUAAUCUAACCAUAUAAUGUAUGAUUUCCCUCUGCCCUCACUCUCUCUCUCUCUUCCUCAUCCACUCCAUCUCUCCGUCUAGCCUCCCCCUUCACUCAAAUUUUUUGUUCCCAAGUUAUUUAACUCGUUUUUUGGUGCAAGAAUCUGGUGGCUCAUUUCCCCUUCGGUGCUGGUUCGGCAACAAAUUCAUUGGUCAUUUUCAAGGUUUUUUCGCAUUAAUUGCAAUAUAGUAUAGAUAAAUUAACAAUAAUUUUUGCAAUAUAAUAUGUAUAUAGUGAUUUGUUAUUGUUUAGAUUAAUUAGCUAUUUUUUUCUUUUCCAUUAGAUGUUAUUGUGAAAAUGUCUAGUAUAAUUGUAUGUAUCCAAUAGUAAAUCGAG
rnacentral:lncRNA from 1 species